AUACCUUUCUCGGCCUUUUGGCUAAGAUCAAGUGUAGUAUUUGUUCUUAUCAGUUUAAUAUCUGAUAUGUGGGCUACAUGCCCACAACGAUAUUAAAUUUAUUUUUUAAGGGAAAGGGGGCAUCACAGUAGCUUGCUAUUGGGCCCCUUGCGUGUCGCCUAGGCGUUCACUACUGCCAAGGCUGGCACACCCCAA
rfam:Triticum aestivum genome assembly, contig: Triticum_aestivum_CS42_TGACv1_scaffold_132941_2BL